UGAGGAAUAUUGGUCAAUGGGCGAGAGCCUGAACCAGCCAAGUCGCGUGAAGGAAGACUGCCUUAUGGGUUGUAAACUUCUUUUAUACAGGAAUAAAAAGGCUUACGUGUAGGCCAUUGCAAGUACUGUAUGAAUAAGCAUCGGCUAACUCCGUGCCAGCAGCCGCGGUAAUACGGAGGAUGCGAGCGUUAUCCGGAUUUAUUGGGUUUAAAGGGUGCGCAGGCGGGCUUUUAAGUCAGCGGUGAAAUCUGGACGCUUAACGUCCAAACUGCCGUUGAAACUGGGAGUCUUGAGUAUGGAUGAAGUAGGCGGAAUUCGUUGUGUAGCGGUGACAUGCAUAGAUAUAACGAGGAACUCCGAUUGCGUAGGCAGCUUACUAAGCCAUAACUGACGCUCAUGCACGAAAGCGUGGGGAUCAAACAGGAUUAGAUACCCUGGUAGUCCACGCCGUAAAACGAUGAUUACUAGUUGUAUGCGAUAUGAUAGUAUGUGACUAAGCGAAAGCGAUAAGUAAUCCACCUGGGGAGUACGCCGGCAACGGUGAAACUCAAAGGAAUUGACGGGUCAUAGCUGUUUCCUG
rnacentral:rRNA from 1 species